GAUGAACGCUGGCGGCGUGCCUAAUACAUGCAAGUCGAGCGAACAGACGAGGAGCUUGCUCCUCUGACGUUAGCGGCGGACGGGUGAGUAACACGUGGAUAACCUACCUAUAAGACUGGGAUAACUUCGGGAAACCGGAGCUAAUACCGGAUAACAUGUUGAACCGCAUGGUUCAACAGUGAAAGACGGUGUUGCUGUCACUUAUAGAUGGAUCCGCGCCGCAUUAGCUAGUUGGUAAGGUAACGGCUUACCAAGGCAACGAUGCGUAGCCGACCUGAGAGGGUGAUCGGCCACACUGGAACGGAGACGCGGUCCAGACUCCUGCGGGAGGCAGCAGUAGGGAAUCUUCCGCAAUGGGCGAAAGCCUGACGGAGCGACGCCGCGUGAGUGGAGAAGGUCUUCGGAUCGUAAAACUCUGUUAUUAGGGAAGAACAGAUGUGUAAGUAACUAUGCACGUCUUGACGGUACCUAGUCAGAAAGCCACGGCUAACUACGUG
rnacentral:rRNA from 1 species